UGCGCCUCUGUCCGGGAGAAAAACAGAAGGUGAAAAUCGAGUAGAGCUGAGACGCAGGAGGGCAUAGAAUGAGAAAUACGACAAAAGCAGCAGAGCUGGGGCGAGGGUAAGAAUGAGAAAGAGGCACGACUGCCGGGCUGUCAGGCUCUUUGUCUUUAAAAGGCUAGCAAGGCCGAGGCGGACGGGACUGGGAGGCUCCGAGCGACAGGAGGCGGGGUCAGCACCGAGCUGGUCUCGGGCCGGGCGUGCCUAAGAAAAUCCUGCCUGUCCCGCGCUUUCCGAGCUCAGCGGGAGUUUGCUGCGUGAACCGCUUCAAGAACCAACGAAUGAAUGAGCCUCCUACUGGACUGGGGGCCUCGGGGCCCCGCGGGGCUGCGAAUCUCACGGACGCUCCGGGCAUCGUGGGGAGCGCCGAGUCCUUUCCGCGCAAGCUGGGGCGCGGGUCUCCCCUGGCUCCUGGUGCCCGGAAUCCCGCGGUGGCGGGGGCGGCAGCGGGGCCGAGGGCGAGCGGAAGCCGAGUUGGCGGUCCGGGGAACCGCCCGGCAGCUGAGAACCUGGACUGUGAGCCGUGGGUCAGAGAGAAAGUGCUCUUUCUUCUGCACCCAGAGAGAUGGUUGGGGACUCCAGGGGACCCUGCACGGGAAGAAGUGGCCAGUGGGGAGGACCUUUUCCAGGCGGCCGGAGAGGACCGGAAACCCGACUGCCCGUCUCUCUUAACACGAGAAAAGCGAAUUUCUGGCAGCCGUGUAGACGCUCCUUUCAGAGCCCUGCCGCGGGACUCCGCAUCCCCACCCAAGUCCGUGCUCGUGCGGAUUGUGGACUAUCAUAUGACAGAAGAAGUCCUGUGGACCUCAUGGACGAAGGGCCAAAUGACCGCACGGACCGAGGAGCACUCCAUGAGGGCCAUCACUUUUCGCACCAACAGGGAGUGAAGCACCAGGCUGUGGGGCGCCAGGACUCCGGAGAACCCCCGGCUCUCCCUGCGUAAGGAGAGGCGCCCCGCGUCCACGCCGCGGGGAGAUCACCUCACGGUCCCCAACGACUGGAUUGCCCGAGGAUAUGAAACAGGAAAGAGGAGCCUGAGGAAUGUUGCGGGCUGGUGGAUGAGCAAUAAGCCUUAAGAAAAUGCUCUUCCGGGAACGCCAGCCUGUAAUUAACCAACGGCAAGGACCUUUUAUGAGGCUGGGGCUGCGCUGCAAGGAGGCAGAUGACACCCCAGACAGAAUGAAGAACUGUGAGCAACAUAAUACCUCCUUUGUGUCUUAAAUACUGUGACGGUCUCGGGACCUAAGUCAUUGGUAAAGGGGAAAGAAAGGUAUUUUCAAAUUGGUAAAUUGUGGGCCAUUUGAAAUAAGAAAAUGUGUUGUUAAUUCUCACUUUGCAAUACAUCUCAACUGAUCUCUUUCCCUGCCUCCCCACUCUCUCUUUAAGACCUAAAAUCAGAAGUGAAGUUUUGAUUCAAAGGGAGUGGGAGUAGAUGGGGAGAGAGGCUUGUUUUAAAGCUGAAAAAGAAAGUAAAAAGGAAUGGGAAAAUUAAAAUAAAGCAGCAAGUAAACAAAAUCUUUCCUUUUUACUUUCUUCUGAUGUGCACAUUUUUCUUUUUUUCAUUAAGUGUUAGAAAAAAAUAAUAACUAGAAAAAGAAGAGAGGGAGAACGGAAGACCCAGCUCUGAAGUUUAAAUGCCAUUUAAAGGGGCUUUACUACCCCCAAAGUAUCUAGUAAAAAUGCUUUUUAUCUGGUUUUUAUUUAUUUUAACAUUUUAAAUAUGGCAGGUUUUCCUGAUCCAAGCAGAACCCCCUUGUGUGAGGAGCCUGAGGAGUCUUUUUGCAUGUACAGUGUCCUGGGAGUGAAUCCAAAGUGAAAUCCGAGUGUCCCCAAUAUGAAGAAAUCUCCGAGAAUGUCUGGGUCUUUGCUCUUAGGUCUUACUUCCACUUUGCAGAAAAAUGUGACCAUCUGAAAUUGCCUUCGGUGGAUGAAUCAUAGCAAGGACUUUUCAAAAGCCACCUGGCCACUCAAGUGACCAUAAGGCAAAUUUCACACAAUCACCAUUAGGCAAGUGUUGACCUCUCUGAAAACCUUUGUCCACAACCUCCACCUUUGUCUACAACCUUCACCACCUUUGAGAUUCAUUACAUUUGACUUGCUGUUCUUAUUCUUGUUGGUUAUCACCACUAUUUAAUGUGCCUUUUUGCUUAUAAAAAAGGAGAAAGACAAAUCUUCCUGUUAGAAAAAGUUGUAUUCACUGCAGAAAAGUUUGAGGAAAUAUUUUGCGAGGAAAAAACAAAAUUGGGAGUAAAAGAAAAAUUCACCCAUGACCCAAAUCUCUUAAUAUUUGGUACAUUUCCCGUCUUGUUUUAUGUAUUUUGUCCUAUUUUUUAUGUGUAUUUUAUUCUAUUUUUUAUGUGUAUGUGUAUACAUACCUAUAUACAUACAUUUUCUUGGCAUAAGCUAUAUAUAAACUCUGAGUAUUAUAAACUAAGGUAUACUGAUACUAUUCAAGGGGAACCAGGAGCAUGGGCAACUCUAAGAAUAUUGUUUUAGAAAUGCAGAAUCUCAGACCCCAGUACAGAUCUACUGAAUCAGAAUUUGCAUUCUGACAAGAUCCCUGGGUAGUUCACAUUAAAGUUUGAGAAGCAUUGAUAUAUACGUGCCAUAUUUAGUUCUAUAGCCUACUUUGUCACUUACAAAAACUAGAAAGUUUUCAUUUUCUCUCUGCCCCUAUUCAUUAACAACCGUUAACAAUGCCAUGGAAAUAGUACUUUGUAGAAUUGGGAAAGCAUUUAGACAUUACAAAAGAGUGAAAUAGAUACUGGUUUGUGAAGUGGCAAGGAGAUCUCUAAAUAUCUUCAAAAAAAUUUUUUAAAGAGUCUUACUAUUCUAAAGUUUCAUAAUGAAACAUGGAUUAUUGGAGUUCAAAUUGUUUCUGAAAUGUGGUUCUUUUAUUAUCUCGGAAUGUGAGACAAUACUUAUUUAAAAACCCCCUGAGGGAAGAAGGGCAGGAAGUCGUUAAAGAAAGCACAGUUGCAACACUUCUGCGGCUGAGUCAGGACUCCUCAGCCUUGAGCACUCUCUGCUAAUGAAUAGUGAGGGGGUGGGGGGAAAGGUGGAGCUUGAAUGUGAAUAAACUGAUUCAGAGGAGAAAACAAAGGCUGUGACUCUUGGACACCCUGAUACGUUUAUAACUCUAGUCAGUACUUUGCUCUUUAAUUAGGGAGGGCAAAUCUUUAUAACCUUGCUAGAUGAAGAUAAGAGAAGACAACAAGUGCAGUUUACUUUGGAAAGAGUAGGAAAUCACAAUCAGUUCUUAGGCACUUGAGCUGCCAAUAUUUAGCAACAAAAUGGUAGACUUGGUCAGCUUCAAGGCAUGGAAUCAACUUUAAAAUCAAAUUCAGAUUCUAAGUGUAAGACAGAAUGGAUACUUUUGGGGAGCCUGCAGCCUUCACAAAAUUGGGUUCUUGUUUGGUAUAGGAAGGGAGGCAGGCAACAUCACUGGGCACUUGGCAGGGAAACAAAGGUAGGCAGUGCAGAGGGAAAGUGACCAAGAUGACCUAACAUUAUCCUCAGCUUGAGCAAACUACAGGUUUCUUUCUGACUGCUUCUGACCCUCCCUUUUCUUGGAGCAUUUUCUUUAGAAACUUGCAAUUGGAAAUUCAUUCUUUGCCUUUUUGACAUGUAAAUCUUUCAACUUCUUGUCUGUUUUGCAUCGGAGGAAUGUCCUUCUCAAGGAUCUGGGAGCCAUCUCUUGGAAAUGUAAUCAAGAAAGACAGGGUCCCUAACUUAACAGUCUCUGGGAGAGGGUAAGAGCCUACCUUAAUAAGUAUCAAUUAGCAAACAAGAUGGAUUAAUUGAAUUGACCAACCUCCCCCCACAAUGUCCUCCAGUACUUUUCCACUAACCUAACCCAGUGCUUAAAAACUCCCCCACCUUUUAUUUCAGGAGAGUUGAGUUCCAUCUCGCUCUCCUUUGCAAUAAAUGCUUAAAUUUCUUUAUAAAGUCUUGAAUAAAUUCUUCCUGGACUGUUCAAUUCUGUCUGGUACAGUUUUUCUUUGACAGUAGUGAAAAAAAGGAAGGGUUCAUGCAUGCUCUGAUUGGAAGCUGUUAGCAUGGAGAAGCUGGAGCUGGGCUAUCUAGAGAAACUUUUUAGGAUUGGCUUAGGGCUUUCUCUGGUGUGUCCUGAGCUGGAAGGGUACAAAAAGAAUAGGGAAGCCAGCAGUCACUGACCAAGUUCUGAUCUUUCUGGUCUGAUGGCAGCAGAAGCUGUGGUUCCCAAAUGGCUUGCUCCACAAGUUGUAGGUCAGAAUUCUACAACCAGAUAAAUAAUAUCAGCCUCGUGGGAUUUUUUUCUAAGAGUAAGUUAGAAAUACUUGGAAUAACAAUAAUACUCAAAAUUAGCUAUUAUUAUUAUUAUUAUCUGUGCUGUUGUUGUUUAGUUCACUUUUUAUCCUAACCCAGGCUUUAGUCUUGAAUAACAAAGAACAGAACACAUAUAACACAAGAAGUCAUAUCAAAACCAAACUAAUGGCUUUUACGAAGACGCUUUUCUGUUUUUUUCCGUAUAGUAUCGUACAUAUCCUGGCCAUUGUCCAUUUUUAUAUUCAGUCUUUCAUUAAUUUUAGGACUGUCUCGAAGACAAAAUUAGAAACCAGAAGACCUAGUCACAGAAUUCUGGAAGAUCCAGUCACAGAAUUCUUUUUUGGAGAUAGUCACAUUCUAUUUAUUUCUUAGAAGCAUUCAGAGAGCAGCAUUGUAAGUAGUUUCUUCAUGGGGGUGAGAUAUGCUUUGGUAUAGUUCAGUCCUGACUGUUGGGAUCCAAAAUGCUACAUAAUGGCUCAGUGCCACCUUACUGAGGUAAGGGCUGUGUAGGGUCUACCUAGCCAUGGGUAUUACCCAGUGAUCACUGAGGUUGUUGGGUGCAUAAGCCUAAUCUUAAGGCUGGUUUGUUGGACAAUGUGCCCCAGGCCCAAAACCCUGAGUGUUAAAGCUGAUU